rnacentral:rRNA from 1 species
AACGCGAAGAACCUUACCUGGGCUUGACAUGCACCUGACAGCCGCAGAGAUGCGGUCUUUUCGCAAGAAACAGGUGCACAGGUGCUGCAUGGCUGUCGUCAGCUCGUGCCGUGAGGUGUUGGGUUAAGUCCCGCAACGAGCGCAACCCUUGUCGUUAGUUGCCAACAUGUAAUGGUGGGCACUCUAGCGAGACUGCCUAGGUUAACUAGGAGGAAGGUGAGGAUGACGUCAAGUCCGCAUGGCCUUUAUGCCCAGGGCUACACACGUGCUACAAUGGUCGGUACAGAAGGCAGCGAAGUCGCGAGAUGGAGCAAAUCCUCAAAGCCGGCCCCAGUUCAGAUUGGAGUCUGCAACUCGACUCCAUGAAGAUGGAAUUGCUAGUAAUGGCGGGUCAGCAACACCGCCGUGAAUACGUUCCCGGGCCUUGUA